AGAUUUCAGACUGCAAAUUCACUUAUUAUUUUCAGAGAGAGAGAGGGAGACCCAAAAAGCAGCACCAACAAAAUUCCCCAUUUUCCAGACCUUAAAUUUAGCUCUUUCAGCCUUUCCCUUGUGUCCUCUCUCGUAAUCUCAACAAAUAUAUCAGUCUACUGAACACAAGACAAUACAGCAGCCCCCCCGAUUGAGCAAUAGAUCUGGCUUUAAGAUUGUCUUAGACGACUGUUGCCACCCUUUCCUCCGAAGAUGGAGGAAUUGGGCACAAUAUAUAGUCGAUUGGAGAAAUGUACGUCUUUUUUCCCGAUACUAUAUUAUGUUUGAUAUAUCGUACGAGGAGAAAAACACAGUUUGGUUUUAGGGUUGAAGAUUGUUGUCGAUUAUUAGCAGCAAUGGUUGGUUUAGGCAAUUACCCUUCCGUAUUGGGCUCUUUACUCUUCAUUAAUUUGAUUUUCUUCUCAAGUUGAUGAUUUCUAUGCCAAUCAAUUUCCAAGGAGGUCACAGGGAUAGCUGGAAUUUAACUUAUUUGGUCACAAUAUUUAAAUGCACCAACAGCGGCCGGUCAUAGAUCUUCCCUGACUGUUUUCUGUGUUCUCGGUCUAUUUGUCCAAUAAUUUAUGCUUGUAAUGUCAUAUAAGAUGAUAAGAUAGUCUGUUGUUCUAACUGUUAUGGUGUUUCAGUUUCGAAAUAUAGUAAUGCCAAAGGCUCAUGUCAUUGCACGGCUUUUGCUAUCAUCCUUCUAGGGGGUUCUUAUGCAGGAUAGCAAACUGUGGUUUGUUAAAAGGCUGUGAACAGUAACUUUGUAGGUAAAACAUGCUCCAUCAUUUUGUAGUCAUAUACAAUAUAGAUUUGGGUCAUGAAUUGAUCCCCCACCACUUGUAUGCACGAUGACAUGCGUCUGUCUUGACAAGGUAAAUGCGUUGCUGCUAAUUGAUGGAAAAAUAACAGUUCUGCUGCAAAUUGUCGUGUUACCUCUCACAAUCCUUGAUACCCAUCACCACAAAAACCUAAUAGAAGAGAAUAUUUUUUAGGGAGAAAACAUGAAAUGUAAUUGUUUCUUUCUUUCUACCUGAAUGUUUGUUCUCUUUUUUUUCCUGAUAAGUUUUCUGUUUGAUCUUUUGUUUUUACCCUUUUAAUGUAUACUAUAGUUUUCGAUGAAGUGUGACGUAAUUUAUUCUUUAUUGCUUUUGAAAACUCUUUGACUUGUU